rnacentral:rRNA from 1 species
CCUACGUGAGGCAGCAGUGGGGAAUAUUGCACAAUGGGGGAAACCCUGAUGCAGCAACGCCGCGUGAGUGAAGAAGUAUUUCGGUUCGUAAAGCUCUAUCAGCAGGGAAGAAAAUGACGGUACCUGACUAAGAAGCCACGGCUAACUACGUGCCAGCAGCCGCGGUAAUACGUAGGGGGCAAGCGUUUUCCGGAUUUACUGGGCGUAAGGGGAGCGUAGGCGGCGGUAUAAGUCUGAUGUGAAAUCCACGGGCUUAACCCCGGGACUGCAUUGUAAACUGGGCGGCUGGAGUGCAGGAGGGGUAAACGGAAUUCCUAGUGUAGCGGUGAAAUGCGUAGAGAUUAGGAGGAACACCGGUGGCGAAGGCGAUUUACUGGACUGUAACUGACGUUGAGGCUCGAAAGCGUGGGGAGCAAACAGGAUUAGAUACCCGAGUAGUC